AACGAACGCUGGCGGCAGGCUUAACACAUGCAAGUCGAGCGCCCCGCAAGGGGAGCGGCAGACGGGUGAGUAACACGUGGGAACGUACCUUUUGCUACGGAAUAGCUCCGGGAAACUGGAAUUAAUACCGUAUGUGCCCUUCGGGGGAAAGAUUUAUCGGCAAAAGAUCGGCCCGCGUCUGAUUAGCUAGUUGGUGGGGUAAUGGCCUACCAAGGCGACGAUCAGUAGCUGGUCUGAGAGGAUGAUCAGCCACACUGGGACUGAGACACGGCCCAGACUCCUACGGGAGGCAGCAGUGGGGAAUAUUGGACAAUGGGCGCAAGCCUGAUCCAGCCAUGCCGCGUGAGUGAUGAAGGCCUUAGGGUUGUAAAGCUCUUUCGCUAGGGAAGAUAAUGACGGUACCUAGAGAAGAAGCCCCGGCUAACUUCGUGCCAGCAGCCGCAGUAAAAC
rnacentral:rRNA from 1 species